CUGAGACACGGUCCAGACUCCUACGGGAGGCAGCAGUGGGGAAUCUUCCACAAUGGGCGAAAGCCUGAUGGAGCMACGCCGCGUGAGUGAAGAAGGUCUUAGGAUUGUAAAGCUCUGUCCUCAGGGAAGAACCGUGGAUAAAGGAAAUGGUAUCCACCUGACGGUACCUGGGGAGGAAGCACUGGCUAACUACGUGCCAGCAGCCGCGGUAAUACGUAGAGUGCAAGCGUUGUCCGGAAUUAUUGGGCGUAAAGGGUACGCAGGCGGAUAGUAAAGUCAAAUGUGAAAGGUGUCGGCUUAACCGACAGAUAGCGUUUGAAACUAACUAUCUUGAGUGUAACAGAGGAGAGCGGAAUUCCUAGUGUAGUGGUGAAAUACGUAGAUAUUAGGAAGAACACCAGUGGCGAAGGCGGCUCUCUGGGUUACAACUGACGCUGAGGUACGAAAGCUGGGGGAGCGAACGGGAUUAGAUACCCCGGUAGUCCCAGCCGUAAACGAUGGAUACUAGGUGUUGGAGGUUCGAUUCCUUCGGUGCCGGAGUUAACGCAUUAAGUAUCCCGCCUGGGGAUUACGAUCGCAAGAUUGAA
rnacentral:rRNA from 1 species